CAAUAGCGUAUAUUAAAGUUGUUGCGGUUAAAAAGCUCGUAGUUGGAUUUCUGUUGGGAACGACCGGUCCGCCCAUUGGGUGUGUAUCUGGCUUGUUCUCGGCAUCUUCUUGGUGAACGUUGCUGCACUUGACUGUGUGGAGCGCUACCCAGGACUUUUACUUUGAGGAAAUUAGAGUGUUUCAAGCAGGCAUAUGCCUUGAAUACAUUAGCAUGGAAUAAUAAGAUAGGACCUCGGUUCUAUUUUGUUGGUUUCUAGAGCUGGGGUAAUGAUUAAUAGGGAUAGUUGGGGGCAUUCGUAUUUAACUGUCAGAGGUGAAAUUCUUGGAUUUGUUAAAGACGGCCUACUGCGAAAGCAUUUGCCAAGGAUGUUUUCAUUGA
rnacentral:rRNA from 1 species